rnacentral:rRNA from 1 species
ACGCGAGGAACCUUACCAGGUCUUGACAUCCUCUGACACUCCUAGAGAUAGGACGUUCCCCUUCGGGGGACAGAGUGACAGGUGGUGCAUGGUUGUCGUCAGCUCGUGUCGUGAGAUGUUGGGUUAAGUCCCGCAACGAGCGCAACCCUUGAUCUUAGUUGCCAGCAUUAAGUUGGGCACUCUAAGGUGACUGCCGGUGACAAACCGGAGGAAGGUGGGGAUGACGUCAAAUCAUCAUGCCCCUUAUGACCUGGGCUACACACGUGCUACAAUGGAUGGUACAAAGGGCAGCAAAGCGGUGACGCCUAGCAAAUCCCAUAAAACCAUUCUCAGUUCGGAUUGUAGGCUGCAACUCGCCUACAUGAAGCUGGAAUCGCUAGUAAUCGCGGAUCAGCAUGCCGCGGUGAAUACGUUCCCGGGCCUUGCACUCACCGCCCGU